UUGUCCAGUGAAAGUCAGUAUCGUUAAUGUUAAUGCAUUCAGGAUCACAUGUAUUUGUAGAUUUGUGUCCUUUUAAUAAUCCUUUUUUUUAAACAAAUCCCAAAGAUUCUUAGUAAACCACUUCAGAGAUGAAUAUUAGCAGAACGAGGAGAAAAGUAAGAGCAAGAGACAAGGGAUCCCAGAUAUGUAUUUCACUGAAAAUUGACAUUAGAGAGUUGAUAGAAGAAUACAAGAGCGUUGUUCCAGAUGGCAGGAACUGCAGAGGAGGAAGAGCAGCAAGAAGCAACGAAGGGAAGCUAACGAUAGAUGAAGUCGGAUGAGAAACAGACACUCGGAGGCACGCAUCCAAUUCUUCAGGCCCUGAAGCAUAACACAGAGCAGCUACGGAGGAAGAACUUGAAGAAAGGCGAGAGGCAAUGGCCAGUAACUGGGAGUGUCCUGCCUCAUGAGCUCGCCCAGCGAGGGGUGGCUCAGCAGCAGCACCCUUGGCUGAUGGAUGUUUUCAGCACACAACGGUCCAUACAGUACAAUAAAGUAAAAUAGAAUACAAUACCACCUAGUGGUAAGAGCUUGGAUCUCAAAGCAUGGUGUAGAAAAAAAUUCAUAGCACAGCUGGGCACAGAAAUGCCCCAGCAGUAACCAUUAUUGAAAAGCAGGAAUAAGGGAAAGCUCCAGGAAUGAUUUUUCCACCAUUUCCAUCCUUGUUCCUAGAAAGUGCUGUUCUCAGCUAGGCGUUGUUUAGAAUACAUUUAAGUGAUAUCUUUUGUUAAGGUCAGUAUGUUCCAGUUUGAUCAGCUUGACCAGAAUGGGUUGAAAGUUACAGAGACUGGAGAACGGAGGAGAAGACAACAUUACGCGCUGGAGAAAUCCAGGAUGGGCUCAUGUCUGGAAAUCUUGGGGCAGUUUUUGCCAUUGAAAAUAGUAGUGUCGAAACCCAAAGGUUCAAAGAAGGGGCUACAAGGGCACGGAGGUUUGGGACCAAUUUCACAAGCUACAGUUUUUCACCUCAAAAACAGAGAGGACUAAGAAGAAAAAGAUUAAAUAUUAAAACAGGCAGGAAGAAAGUGAACAACUCCUCCCCCUCUCUUCUGAUACCAGAAUCGGAUGACAUCAAAUGAAAUUAGCAGGGACCAGGUUCAAGACAAGAUGCAAUGGCUGUUUGCACAACAGUUAAUUCGGCAAAGAAGCGUGUAACUCUUUGCCACGUGAUGUAGUGAAUACUGAAAUGCUUACCCCCCCUCAGGAGAGUACUCAGGGCUUCUACGCCAUACUGACAGAGUGCAGUCCGUGACAAUCCUUCCAUGCGCUGGACUUCAAAUGCUCUGUGUUUUCCUGUGCUCGCAGCCUCUCUGCUGCUGGCAAUGGGGCACUCGGCAGAGCUUUGCUGCAGGAACUGCAGCUGCUCCUAGGGGAAAAAAAAUUGUGUUUAAGUAUGAAAAACAAAAUUCAGAAACAAAAACACAGUGUGCAAAGAUAUAUAGAUAAACAUACCUAGCUACGAUUUUUAUUGUCAGCUGAUCCUGAAGAGUUGUUUUCAAAGUUUUAGAAUAGGAAAUCACUGGGAAUUCACUGGGUAACAAAACAAGAAAAUCUGAAGUAACAUCAUCUUGCAAAAAUUAAUCUUGGCUCCAAGCUCAUUUUACAUAACAUAGGUUGGUUGCUCAUUCACUGAAUAUUUUCAUUAUGCGCUUCUGUAGGGAAGAUGAUUUGUAGCCAUAUUUAUUUGAAGACUAUAUUACAAUGAAUAGUGUAAAUAAUGUAUAUGAGAAGGCAGGGUAGGAUUGCCUGGCAGCCUUCAAUCUGCCAUUCCCCUGACUGCUAACUUGGCAACCUUAACAUGGCUCUUUGUGUGGGACAAAUUAUAAACCAAAUAGUCCCGAGGUAAGGCUUUCAUUGCCUACACAGUACUGAAUCUAUUUAUUUUUCAAUUCCAUUCAAGUCCCAAGUGCUGUCAGAGUGCCAAAGUUUCAGUCAAUGUGAUUUUUCAUACUGCAAAUCUUCUUUGUUUAGUUUAAAAUGGAGCUGUCACAACCCUCGCAAUGACUGGGGCAGUGCUUUUUACAAAGAUAUCAAAAACUAUUAGAACUUCCCAAAGUCUCCUGAAAAUUUCCACAGGGGGAUGAGGCCGUUGAGGUGCAGAGUCACAUCCAGCAUCAGCUUCUCUGGAGACUGACAGAGGACCUUACCAUAUCUUGAGCCUUUCUCCUUCAGUCUGGUGGUUUAGCAGGUGACUUGGUGCCCAACGAGAGAUGCAACGAGCACGUCACGUAGCCAAGAACCUGAAGGUCCCUCUGCAAAAGCAUCACCUGAAAGCAAGGGCUCUGCCGGUUCCCCUCAGCGUGCACCUUCAGCAACACCAAGCACGGUAACUCUUCAUGGUGUCUCAGCAUCGACUCGCUGUAAUGGAGGAAUAUUACUCCUUAAUGCACAUUGUCCGCCUUCCAAGGUGCUUUCAAAGGCUUUUUCUCCCCUUUGUCUCUGGGCAGGCGGUGGUUUGCCUGGGAGUUG